CGUUUUUUUUUUUUGUACCGCAAAUCUGAAAGUCCCCUUUUCUCUAACAAAGCAGCUGCCCAGCGCACCAAUAAAAGUUAAGUAAUCAAAUUGUUUACGUUCAAAGGAAAUGGGAGAUGAACCCGAUCGCAGAAGCACUCUACCAAAUGGUAACAGUGAUAUUAAUGGCCCACACAGCAUCAUUAAUCGUAGUAGUAGUAGCAGCAGCCUCAAUACCGGCAACAACAAUGUUCGCAGGAACGAACACAUGGCUAACACAACGGUGGUGAGUGACGAUCGCGCCACAACAAGCCGUGAUGCUGCAUCACAAGCCGCUCAUUCAGCGCCCAAUGGGAAGGAAAUAAAUUCGAAAGGCAUUUACAGAGUUGGAAGUCGUGUCCUAUAUCGUGCCAAUUCCAUGGCCACCACUGCGUCACAGCUGCCCAAGACAUGCAUGCAAAAUACGAAUACCUGGUGUCUAAGGCAAUGGUGUAAAUUGAAGCGAUUGGUGGGGCAAAGACGACGCGUGGCGGAUACGCCGAAUACGCAGGUGAUUUGUCAGCUUUGCCGUAAGGUUUGUGAUCGCGUCGCAGAAGUGCAAGCAACUUCGGGUGCAGAGAAUCAUAUGGAGCCGGCAACAAAUACGCCAGGCGGAGAGGACAUGACGGACUUUGUGACGCGAAGAGUGCGGCCAGAUUUCUACUGCUCUGCCUGCAUGGCAAAGAAGAAAUGCCAAAUUGAACGGGAUACAGCGUUUACCUAUGAUGAGGACCUCACAACUUCGGCGGCAGCGGUCGAUGAUACGGAUAGACGAGUCAUAUUCUUGAAUCGACCACAAGUACAGAAGUUUUGCAACAAUCACAUAUCAACUGCGAAAUAUAGUUUUAUAAGCUUUUUACCAUCGUUCCUUUUUGAACAAUUUAGACGUUAUUCGAAUUGUUUUUUCCUAUUAAUUGCAUUACUACAACAAAUUCCUGAUGUCUCGCCGACGGGUCGCUAUACAACAUUGGUACCAUUAAUAUUUAUUUUAUCGGUGAGCGGCAUUAAAGAGAUCGUCGAGGACAUAAAACGUCAUCGUGCCGAUAAUGAAAUCAAUCAUCGAAUGGUGGAAGUGUUACGCGAUGGCGCUUGGACAUCGGUACGAUGGCGGGAUAUCGGUGUGGGUGAUAUUGUAAAAAUACCAAAUAAUAUAUUCUUUCCCGCUGAUAUAAUGCUGUUGUCAUCGAGUGAGCCGCAAGCGAUGUGUUUUAUAGAAACUGCGAAUUUGGAUGGUGAAACAAAUUUGAAGAUACGCCAAGGUGUGCCAGCAACAGCGAAAUGUCUGGAAACCAAAGAUCUACUCCAGUUAGAUGGCACCGUCGAAUGUGAGCUGCCUAAUCGUCAUUUAUAUGAAUUCAAUGGUGUACUCAAGGAGAAUAAUAAGCCCACCGUUGCGCUCGGUCCCGAUCAGAUAUUGCAACGCGGCGCCGUUUUACGAAACACCGCCUGGAUAUUCGGCGUCGUCAUCUAUACCGGACACGAUACGAAACUUAUGAAAAACUCUACCUCAGCACCGUUAAAACGUUCAACCGUUGAUACCGUAACGAAUACACAGAUAUUAAUGUUAUUCGUUAUUUUGGUUGUUUUGUCAUUGACCAGUGCGAUAUUAAACUUUUUCUGGACGCGCGACAACGCGAAAAUGUUUUGGUAUUUGGGCAUAAACGAGGAUAUCAAAAGUAAAAACGCUGGUUAUAAUCUGCUGACAUUCUUUAUUCUUUACAACAAUCUCAUACCGAUAUCCUUGCAAGUGACGCUGGAGUUAGUGCGUUUCCUACAGGCCAUCUUCAUCAAUUUCGACAUAAAUAUGUACUAUGCGGAAACGGAUACACCGGCUAUGGCGCGCACCUCAAACCUCAACGAAGAGCUGGGUAUGGUUAAGUAUAUAUUCUCCGAUAAGACUGGCACACUCACGCGUAAUGUUAUGGUUUUCAAGAAGUGUUCGGUAGCGCGUUAUAUGUACGAACCGGGCAACACGCCUGAAGAAUCGACUAUUGUACAGAAUCUACUCGGCAAUCACAAUACCGCUCCUGUUAUCAAGGAAUUCCUCACGCUACUCGCCGUUUGUCACACUGUCAUACCGGAAAAAUUCGACGAUGGCACCAUUAUCUAUCACGCUGCCAGUCCCGAUGAGCGCGCCAUUAUCGAAGGUGCACGCAUGUUCGGCUAUAUCUUCGAAUCACGCACACCACACUAUGUUGAGAUUAAUGCGCUCGGCACCAUCGAACGCUACGAAAUACUCAAUGUGCUGGAAUUCACCUCGACGCGUAAACGUAUGUCGGCAAUAGUGCGCACGCCAACCGGUGAGAUCAAACUUUACUGCAAGGGUGCCGAUACGGUGAUCUAUGAGCGUCUCGCACCCGAUGGUCAGAUGUAUCGCGAUACUACGUUGCAUCAUCUGGAGGAAUUCGCUUCGGAGGGUCUACGCACGCUCUGCUGUGCCGUCUCGGUGAUACCCGAAGAUGUGUACAACGAAUGGAAGGAAACGUAUCACAAAGCGUCGACGGCGUUGCAGUAUCGUGAACGCAAAGUAGAGGAUGCCUCGAAUUUGAUUGAGAACAAUUUGAUAUUAUUGGGUGCGACGGCGAUUGAAGACAAACUGCAAGACGGUGUGCCCGAGACGAUAGCCUCACUAUUGGAUGCAGGAAUUUAUAUAUGGGUGUUAACGGGCGAUAAGCAAGAGACAGCGAUAAAUAUUGGUUACUCAUGCAAACUCAUCUCGCACUCGAUGGAUAUCAUUAUACUCAAUGAGGGAAGCUUGGAUGCCACCCGCGAUAUUAUCCACCGCCAUGUGGACGAGCUGAAGAGCUCCGACAUGAAGGAGUGCAAUGUAGCGCUUGUGAUCGAUGGCCAAACACUGAAGUAUGCAUUAAGCUGCGAUCUGAAGCAGGAAUUUCUAGAACUUUGCUUGGUGUGUCGGGUGGUGAUUUGUUGUCGCGUUUCGCCAAUGCAAAAGGCGGAGAUCGUUGAAUGCGUUACACACGCUACGGGUGCCGUUACACUCGCCAUCGGUGAUGGCGCUAACGACGUGGCUAUGAUACAAAAAUCCCAUGUUGGUGUUGGCAUUUCAGGUGUUGAAGGCUUACAGGCAGCUUGUGCCUCCGAUUAUUCCAUUGCACAAUUUCGCUAUUUGAAACGUUUGCUGUUGGUACACGGCGCUUGGAAUUAUAGUCGCAUCACAAAAUUAAUUCUAUACAGUUUCUAUAAGAAUGUGUGCUUGUAUGUGAUCGAGUUGUGGUUCGCCAUCUAUUCUGGUUGGUCGGGUCAAAUUCUCUUCGAACGUUGGACUAUAGGGUUGUAUAAUGUUAUGUUUACCGCUUUGCCGCCCUUCGCUUUGGGUCUCUUCGAUAAGGUCUGUUCGGCGGAAACGAUGCUAAAAUAUCCUCAACUGUAUAAGCCAUCACAAGAUGCUAAACUCUUUAAUGUGAAAGUGUUCUGGGUGUGGAUACUCAAUGCGCUGUCACAUUCGGUGUGGCUGUUUUGGUUGCCGAUGCUGAUAAUGAGAGAAUCGGUAUGGUCUGAUGGCAAGACGAGUGACUACCUGGUGUUGGGCAAUAUAGUGUAUACGUAUGUCGUCGUAACAGUUUGUUUCAAAGCCGGUCUCAUCACCAACUCCUGGACGUGGAUGACGCAUGCCUCCAUUUGGGGUUCAAUCGUUAUGUGGUUCAUUUUCAUGGUGAUCUACAGUAAUUUCUGGCCCACCAUUAUGCUGGCACCAAUUUUCUUGGGCAUGGAUCGCAUGGUUUUCUCAACGUUCGUUUUCUGGCUGGGUCUUCUGCUCAUUCCCAUCACGACGCUGUUGCCCGAUGUGCUCUUCACUAUCGUACAUAAUACUGUAUUCAAGUCACUCACAGAGGCUGUACGUGAGUCGGAGAUACGUCGCUAUGAUCCUGAAAAUGUGAUACGAGAAUCGAAGACAUCACUCAGUGAAACUGCGAGGCUGCUGCGUAGCGUCUUUACACGUCGUGCCAAUACCAGAGUCGAAACGGAACUAGAAUUGUCGCAUGGCUACGCAUUCUCACAAGAGGAAGGUGGUGCAGUUCCACAAUCGGUCGUUAUACGCGCAUACGACACGAAUUUACCGAAACCAGAGGGCAAUUAAGCUAAUACAGAGUAUUUUGCAUGCAAUGCAAAAACAAUUAUGAAGCCUGGAAACAACUAUGAAGCCUGAAAACGAAGUCAAUGUGAAGCUGACUUCUCACUGGAUUAGAAGUAAAAGUGGAUUGAAAUAUAUUUGAGGAAUGUGUAGAUAAAAGUGAAACAAAAGCAGGAUUGUGGAAAGGAUUUUCUUUAGCUAAAUUCACGAAUUAGGGGCGAAUCGAAGCUAAUGAACUAUCUAUAAAACUCUCUGAACAAUAGCACGGAAAUAAUACAAUAACACUUAAAUAGCCAACCAGUGAACUCCAUUGACUAAACGAAGCAUUAAAAAUAACAUCAAACACAAAAAAAAUAAAACGGAAAUCGGAUUUGAUUCAUCGUAAAUACAUGGCAUAGAAUUUCGAACAGUGUUUCAGGAAUAAGAUAAAAGAUAUUGCACACUUAGUUCCAUGAUUUUGCGGAAUCCUCUACGACAACUAUUUACUUUGGAUCAAAUUUUUUUUUUCAUCUCAAAAUUACAAACCAUAAAUGGCCAAAAUCUUCAGAACCAAACUACAAGAUUCGAGUACGAAUAUUAGGCGAAAAGUAUGUUAGCGAAAAACCAAUAAAUU